AUGAUUGUUGCUGCUGUUGUCACUAUUGUUGCUGCUGUUGUUGCUGCCAUUACUAUUGCUGUUGCUGUGGUUCCCAUUGUCGUGGCGGUGGUUACUGUUGCUGCUGCUGUUGUUGCCAUUGUUACUAUUAUUGCUGUUGUUGUGGCUGCCAUUACUAUUGCUGCUUCUGUGGUUCCCAUUGUUGUGGUGGUUACUGUUGUUGCUGCUAAUAUUGCCAUUGUUACUAUUGUUGCUGCUGUUGUUGCUGCCAUUACUAUUGCUGCUGCUGUGGUUCCCAUUGUUGUGGUGGUGAUUGCUGUUGCUGCUGCUGUUGUUGCCAUUGUUAUGAUUGUUGCUGCUAUUGUUGCUGCCAUUACAAUUGCUGCUUCUGUGGUUCCCAUUGUUGUGGUGGUGAUUGCUGUUGUUGCUGCUAAUAUUGCCAUUGUCACUCUUGUUGCUGCUGCUGUUGUCACUGUUACUAUUGUUGCUGUUGUUGUUGCUGCCAUUACUAUUGCUGCUUCUGUGGUUCCCAUUGUUGUGGCGGUGAUUGCUGUUGUUGCUGUUAAUAUUGCCAUUGUCACUAUUGUUGCUGCUGUUGUUGCCAUUGUUACUAUUGUUGCUGCUGUUGUUGCUGCCAUUACUAUUGCUGUUGCUGUGGUUCCCAUAGUUGUGGUGGUGAUUGCUGUUGCUGCUGCUGUUGUUGCCAUUGUUAUGAUUGUUGCUGCUAUUGUUGCUGCCAUUACAAUUGCUGCUUCUGUGGUUCCCAUUGUUGUGGUGGUUACUGUUGUUGCUGCUAAUAUUGCCAUUGUCACUCUUGUUGCUGCUGCUGUUGUCACUGUUACUAUUGUUGCUGCUGUUGUUGCUGCCAUUACUAUUGCUGCUGCUGUGGUUCCCAUUGUUGUGGUGGUGAUUGCUGUUGCUGCUGCUGUUGUUGCCAUUGUUAUGAUUGUUGCUGCUAUUGUUGCUGCCAUUACAGUUGCUGCUUUUGUGGUUCCCAUUGUUGUGGUGGUGGUUACUGUUGUCGCUGUUGUUGUCACUGUUACUAUUGUUGCUGCUGUUGUUGCUGCCAUUACUAUUGUUGCUUUUGUGGUUCCCAUUGUUGUGGUGGUGAUUGCUGUUGUUGCUAUUGUUUUUGCCAAUGUUAUGAUUGUUGCUGUUGUUGUCACUAUUGUUGCUGCUGUUGUUGCUGCCAUUACUAUUGCUGCUUCUCUGGUUCCCAUUGUUGUGGUGGUGGUUACUGUUGUUGCUGUUGUUGUUGUCACUGUUACUAUUGUUGCUGCUGUUGUUGCUGCCAUUACAAUUGCUACUUCUGUGGUUCCCAUUGUUGUGGUGGUGGUUACUGUUGUUGCUGCUAAUAUUGCCUUUGUCACUAUUGUUGCUGCUGCUGUCGUCACUGUCACUAUUGUUGCUGCUGUUGUUGCUGCCAUUACUAUUGCUGCUUCUGUGGUUCCCAUUGUUGUGGUGGUGAUUGCUGUUGUUGCUGUUAAUAUUGCCAUUGUCACUAUUGUUGCUGUUGUUGUUGUCACUGUUACUAUUUUUGCUGCUGUUGUUGCUGCCAUUACUAUUGCUGCUGCUGUGGUUCCCAUUGUUGUGGUGGUGAUUGCUGUUGUUGCUAUUAAUAUUGCCAUUGUCACUAUUGUUGCCGUUGUUGUUGUCAUUGUUACUAUUGUUGCUGUUGUUGCUGCUGCCAUUACUAUUGCUGCUGUUGUGGUUCCCAUUGUUGUGGUGAUUACUGUUCUUGCUAUUGUUGCCAUUGUUAUGAUUGUUGCUGUUGUUGUCACUGUUACUAUUGUUGCUGCUGUUGUUGCUGUCAUUACUAUUGCUGUUGCUGUGGUUCCCAUUGCUGUGGUGGUGGUUACUGUUGUUGCUGUUGUUGUCAUUGUUACUAUUGUUGCUGCUGUUUUUGUCACUGUUACUAUUGUUGCUGCUGUUGUUGCUGCCAUUACUAUUGCUGCUGUUGUGGUUCCCAUUGUUGUGGUGAUUACUGUUCUUGCUAUUGUUGUUGCCAUUGUUAUGAUUGUUGCUGUUGUUGUCACUGUUACUAUUGUUGCUGCUGUUGUUGCUGUCAUUACUAUUGCUGUUGCUGUGGUUCCCAUUGCUGUGGUGGUGGUUACUGUUGUUGCUGUUGUUGUCAUUGUUACUAUUGUUGCUGCUGUUUUUGUCACUGUUACUAUUGUUGCUGCUGUUGUUGCUGCCAUUACUAUUGCUGUUGCUGUGGUUCCCAUUGCUGUGGUGGUGGUUACUGUUGUUGCUGUUUUUGUUGCCAUUUUUACUAUUAUUGCUGUUGUUGUCACUGUUACUAUUGUUGCCAAUCUUGUCACUGUUGUUACUAUUGCUGUUGCUGGUGUUCCUGUAGCUGCUGGUGUUCCUAAUGUUAUUCUUAUUUCUGUUGUUGCUGCUGUUGCUUCUGCUAUUACUGUUGUUGGCAUAGAGACCCUGGGAGCACAGCUGGCUUCUUUGGGCUCCUACAUCUGGAGCCAGAGACAACCCCAGCACUGCCAGGGGAUUCGAGUGGGCUCCUGCUGCACUCCCCAUAUCAGCCUGGCCCAGAAGCUGAGGCAAGACUAA
rnacentral:lncRNA from 1 species